rnacentral:rRNA from 1 species
UACAGAGGUCCCGAGCGUUGUUCGGAUUCAUUGGGCGUAAAGGGUGCGUAGGUGGCGCUGUAAGUGGGGUGUGAAAUCCCGGGGCUUAACUCCGGAACUGCAUUCCAUACUGCGGUGCUUGAGGACUGGAGAGGAGACUGGAAUUUACGGUGUAGCAGUGAAAUGCGUAGAGAUCGUAAGGAAGACCAGUGGCGAAGGCGGGUCUCUGGACAGUUCCUGACACUGAGGCACGAAGGCCAGGGGAGCAAACGGGG